rnacentral:lncRNA from 1 species
CUUGCUUCAGUGCUGUUGAAAUAUUAGGCCUUUAAAUGGCUACUAAAUGACAAACAUCCAGAUGAUUUUCAUUCUCGGAUUCAAACUGACUCCUGACCCAACUGUUGAGAGUUGAACUGAAGCCAACUACUCCUAUUUAAGGUGCAGCACAUGUAAAGGAGAGGACUGUACACAUGCUGUUAGCCUCCAAGAUCAAGGCUUACUUCUCUGCAUCACUGUCUCAGGACAAGGCAGAUUCAGAAAAAUAAAAGAGCUCAUCCCAGGGGCAUCCUGGACCCAUCACAACUGCAGUGCUACCAGAAAAGAGACCGAAUCAUCACUGUUUUUAGAAGCAUGUUCUAUCAUCCCCAGGCUAUGAUACCCUUGGAGAGAAAUUGAGAUCAAAUGGAGGAUCAAUCGCCAUGAAGAAGGGCUCAGCUCUUCCCAUUCACUCCAGAGGAAUCCAAUAAGAACUCAUAAUUAAUGUAGCCUCCAAUGUUAAGACACUGGAAGAGGAGGAAUAUUUUUCUUUUAAUUUCUACUUUAUUUUGUAACAGGUAGGACAAGCUAUAAAAUAUCUAUUUAUAUCAGGAGUUUAUACUUUUGUUGACAGACCAUUCUACAUUCCCACUUGUUAAUCUUACUGUAGCUCAAGACUUUUCAAGAAAGUCUCACUUGCCCACUUUGAUGACUUUUUAUGCUUGAAGAGCACUAACUACCUUUUCUCUGUUGUUCUGUCCUCAAGAUUCUGAUUUUCUCUGAAGAAGCUCUGCUAAAGCACAAAAUAUUGUACUAGGAAAUGAUAGCAAAAAGUUGCCAUUCUGGCUUGAAUAGAAAUAUUGCAGCAAUUUUUAUUAAAUGUGGUCCUCCC